GGUAUCAAUUGAAUGAAUGGUUGCAAUAUGAAAACACUACCGCGAACUGUUCCGUUGUUAGGAUUGACAGGUGGAGUUAUACCGAUGCUGAAGACAAGGAUCAAUACCUCGUUAGGUGCGGAAGAUUCAACUAUACGUG